rnacentral:sRNA from 1 species
CAGUUGCUGCUUUUUUUCUGUCUUAUGACCAGUAGGUGGGGCUGGGGGGCCCUCCAGUGUGGGGGGACUACUAAGGGCCUGGUUUCACUGUCAGUUUCAGUUGAUUGCAAGUGAUCAGAACUGUCCCUGGAAUAGCAACCUCCUUGCUGCAAGGUGUGGUGAACUCUGUGUCUCCAAUUCGCAUAUUGUUUAGGUUAAUUUACGUUCGUUGUUGGAAGCAACAACUGGAUCACCCUUGAGCCCAUGCCACUCUUGAGUGUUCUAUCUUAAAAGGUGGAGAUAUGGUCCUUAUCUUUGAGGAAGUUAUAAUUUAAAAGAGAAAGGCAUGAAAUGUCUGCUUUGGUGGUGAUAUUAAGGAACUAGCUGUGUGUCUGGUGGGAAGUGUGCCCUCUGUGCGUAUAUUUUGGAAUAUAAAACUAAAUCCCUGUCCUAAUAUUGGAAUGUUUAGGGGCUAUUUGGGGGCAAGCAUUGGUAGGCUGGAUUUUUUUUUUUUUUUUUUCCGAGACAGGGUCUUACCCUGUCACCCAGGCUGGAGUUCAGUGAUGUGAUCAUAGCUCACUGUAGUCUUGAACUCCUGGGCUCAAGCGAUCCUCCCACCUCAGCCUCCUGAGUAGCUAGGACCACAAGCACCUGCCACCAUGCCUGGCUAGACAGGGUCUUGCUAUGUGCCCAGGUUGGUCUCAAACUCCUGGCCUCCAGCAGUCCUCCAAGCUCAGUCUCCCAAAGCACUGAGAUGACAGGUGUGAGCCACUGCACCCAGCCUGAAUUUGUGUUUUUCUAUAUUUUGUUUGAUUAUAAGUGUAAUGUACACUUAUUAUUAACAAUUCAAACUAUACUGAAGUAUAAGAAGAAAAGGGGAAGAUGCCCUUUCACUAAUCACAUUCUGCCUCCCGUCCGAUCUCAUUCCCCAGUGUUGCUAUGGUGAUAUGAAUAGUUGGGCAUUAAUCUCUCCAAAUCUUUAUAUAGAGAAAAUGCACACUUGUGUGUAUGCGUAUGUAUAUGUUCACAUAAUACAGAUACAGACUUUUUUAACUGAAGUGGGAUCAUACGAGAUAGACUGAUGUGCAGCUGGCUUUUUCACUUAACCAUGUAUUAAACAUCUUUUAUGCCAGUGGCUUAUAGAUGGAGCCCAUUCUCUUUAGUGAAUGGAAUGCCUUGUACUGUCUACAGUAUAAAUGAGUCGUGACUUUUUUUCCCCCCAACGUUUCACCAUUCUCUUAUUAGCGGACAUUUGUGCUGUAUGCACUGGGUUUUAAAGAUCUCACAUGCUCUUGGUCAUUCAUUCCUGUGGACCGUAGUCCUCUGAAUCGGAAAGUAUAUUUCAUAAACGCCCAUCACAGAGGAAGAAGUACUGUCACGACUGUGCACAAAGCUAGAGGCUUUGCCAUCCCGAGGGCCCUCAGCCCUGUGUCGCUCAUUGAACUCUCCUCCCUACUUGCUGGCAGCCUUCACUGUCCUUGUCUUUCAGCUCCUCGGCGGAUGGUACUUCUACGUUCAGGCCUACAAAUCUCUGAGACACAGGUCAGCCAACAUGGACGUGCUCAUCGUCCUGGCCACGAGCAUUGCUUACGUCUAUUCUCUGGUCAUCCUGGUGGUUGCUGUGGCUGAGAAGGCGGAGAGGAGCCCUGUGACAUUCUUCGACACGCCCCCCAUGCUCUUCGUGUUCAUUGCCCUGGGCCGGUGGCUGGAACACUUGGCAAAGAGCAAAACCUCAGAAGCCCUGGCUAAACUCAUGUCUCUCCAAGCCACAGAAGCCACCGUUGUGACCCUUGGUGAGGACAAUUUAAUCAUCAGGGAGGAGCAAGUCCCCAUGGAGCUGGUGCAGCGGGGCGAUAUCGUCAAGGUGGUCCCUGGGGGAAAGUUUCCAGUGGACGGGAAAGUCCUGGAAGGCAAUACCAUGGCUGAUGAGUCCCUUAUCACGGGAGAAGCCAUGCCAGUCACUAAGAAACCUGGAAGCACUGUAAUUGCGGGGUCUAUAAAUGCACAUGGCUCUGUGCUCAUUAAAGCCACCCACGUGGGCAAUGACACCACUUUGGCUCAGAUUGUGAAACUGGUGGAAGAGGCUCAGAUGUCAAAGGCACCCAUUCAGCAGCUGGCUGACCGGUUUAGUGGAUAUUUUGUCCCAUUUAUCAUCAUCAUGUCAACUUUGACGUUGGUGGUAUGGAUUGUAAUCGGUUUUAUCGAUUUUGGUGUUGUUCAGAAAUACUUUCCUAACCCCAACAAGCACAUCUCCCAGACGGAGGUGAUCAUCCGGUUUGCGUUCCAGACGUCCAUCACGGUGCUGUGCAUUGCCUGCCCCUGCUCCCUGGGGCUGGCCACGCCCACGGCUGUCAUGGUGGGCACCGGGGUGGCCGCGCAGAACGGCAUCCUCAUCAAGGGAGGCAAGCCCCUGGAGAUGGCGCACAAGAUAAAGACUGUGAUGUUUGACAAGACUGGCACCAUUACCCAUGGCGUCCCCAGGGUCAUGCGGGUGCUCCUGCUGGGGGAUGUGGCCACACUGCCCCUCAGGAAGGUUCUGGCUGUGGUGGGGACUGCGGAGGCCAGCAGUGAACACCCCUUGGGCGUGGCAGUCACCAAAUACUGUAAAGAGGAACUUGGAACAGAGACCUUGGGAUACUGCACGGACUUCCAGGCAGUGCCAGGCUGUGGAAUUGGGUGCAAAGUCAGCAACGUGGAAGGCAUCCUGGCCCACAGUGAGCGCCCUUUGAGUGCACCGGCCAGUCACCUGAAUGAGGCUGGCAGCCUUCCUGCAGAAAAAGAUGCAGCCCCCCAGACCUUCUCUGUGCUGAUUGGAAACCGUGAGUGGCUGAGGCGCAACGGUUUAACCAUUUCUAGCGACGUCAGUGACGCUAUGACAGACCACGAGAUGAAAGGACAGACGGCCAUCCUGGUGGCUAUUGACGGUGUGCUCUGUGGGAUGAUCGCUAUCGCAGACGCUGUCAAGCAGGAGGCUGCCCUGGCUGUCCACACGCUGCAAAGCAUGGGUGUGGACGUGGUUCUGAUCACGGGGGACAACCGGAAGACAGCCAGAGCCAUUGCCACCCAGGUUGGCAUCAACAAAGUCUUUGCAGAGGUGCUGCCUUCGCACAAGGUGGCCAAGGUCCAGGAGCUCCAGAAUAAAGGGAAGAAAGUCGCCAUGGUGGGGGAUGGGGUCAAUGACUCCCCGGCCUUGGCCCAGGCAGACAUGGGUGUCGCCAUUGGCACCGGCACGGAUGUGGCCAUCGAGGCAGCCGACGUCGUCCUUAUCAGAAAUGAUUUGCUGGAUGUGGUAGCUAGCAUUCACCUUUCCAAGAGGACUGUCCGAAGGAUACGCAUCAACCUGGUCCUGGCACUGAUUUAUAACCUGGUUGGGAUACCCAUUGCGGCAGGUGUCUUCAUGCCCAUCGGCAUUGUGCUGCAGCCCUGGAUGGGCUCAGCGGCCAUGGCGGCCUCCUCUGUGUCUGUGGUGCUCUCAUCCCUGCAGCUCAAGUGCUAUAAGAAGCCUGACCUGGAGAGGUAUGAGGCACAGGCGCAUGGCCACAUGAAGCCCCUGACAGCAUCCCAGGUCAGUGUGCACAUAGGCAUGGAUGACAGGCGGCGGGACUCCCCCAGGGCCACACCAUGGGACCAGGUCAGCUAUGUCAGCCAGGUGUCGCUGUCCUCCCUGACGUCCGACAAGCCAUCUCGGCACAGCACUGCAGCAGACGAUGGUGGGGACAAGUGGUCUCUGCUCCUGAAUGACAAGGAUGAGGAGCAGUACAUCUGAUGACUUCAGGCGGGCGGGCCGGGGCAGGGACUUGCCUCCACUCACCACAAGCUGAGCAGGACAGCCAGCAGCAGGAUGGGCUGAGCUAGCCUCCAGCUUUGGGGACUUCCACUCCCUGGAUAUGUCCAGUCAUCCUGCCCUGCAGCACGCGGCCUUGUCUGGGUGCAGCUGGGCUUGGCCUGGAGAGGACGGCCCUGCCUGCCUCUUGGCCUCACAGGACCGUCAGCAUGGGCUUUGUCUUGGACUCUAGUCCUUGGCUGGACUGUAGAAGGUGAGAGGCAAGUCACCCUCCUCACAGACCUCUGCUUGGAGUAUUUAGGAUGACUGCUAUGAAAUGGAGAACAGUUUCAUCAUGACCAAAAAACCUCACUGGGCCUCUCCAGAGAACUGCAGACCUCACUGUCAGGCUCUUUCUGAUGACGCGUGUCUGUGUGCAUCGUGUUUCUGAGACCACAGUUUACCUCAGGUGUGCCUGUUGCUUUCUUCCUGCACAGUCUGUUCCUUUUCUCUCCUGUGUGCUUGUCAGUGGGGACCCCUCGCAACCCUGCCUGUCACCUGGGAGGGUGGGACCAAUGUCCUUGUGGUCUUUGCUGCUGCUCUCAGGUGCUUCUCCAAUGCUCUGGAGUGUGCAUUUCAGCUUGAACCUGCUUCCUGGCUUGCACAUCCCCAGCCAGGGAGCUUGCCACACUCUUCUUCAAGUUGAGGAGAGUUCUUUUUUGCUUAAAGCCCCCUUCUCCAUGGAGUGGUGGCUUCUCAGUAGAGUGUUGUUGCUGACCAGCUGGAGUGAGGGUCUCAGGGCCUGACCUGAGAGUCCAGACUCGGCUUCCUGUGGGGUCUAGGUUCUCGCGAUUCAGGACGUCCUUCCAUAUCCCUGCCCAGCCUGUGGUGCUUGAAACAUUUGCCCCAUGGGAGACGUAUGUGUGCAGGAGCCUCCCUGCACGGCCCAAGGGGCUUUGUUUUCAGUCUUCUGACUGUCACCUCAUGGGGUUCAGUAGAGAAUUCAUGUCACUAGCGCCUGGCCUUGUGUGGCUUGGAGGAAAUGGUACUGCCCAAAUAGGAGGGAAACACAGCCUCCCUGAGCCUGCAUUCUGCACGCUGCCCAGGAGCUUCAGAAAAGGAGUGGCCACAGCACCCCAAAGGGAGCAUCUGUUUACCUGGCAGUGGCUCUCAGAGCAGCAGAACGGGUUCAGUUUUAGACUCUGAAGUUGGUUGUGAUUGACAGAACCCCUUGGGAGCAAACUAGUAGAGUUGGAUUAAAUUCUGGGUGAAACCCUUUUCUCCCACACAAAAUAGUUUUAGUGAUUUUUUUCAGUGUCCAUUACUUGCCAGGGGCAGUUUUAGCAGCACUUUUGAUAGAUUACGUCUAAUCCUCCCAACUAACCAGCAAGGUAGCUGUUACUGUCCACAUUUUACAGGCAAGGAAACAGGCUCUAAGAGGCUGAGGACUUUGCCCAGGAUGACAUAGCCAAUGGACAAGCUGUGUCUGUCAGCUGUGAAGGCUUCACUCUAAUUGUCCUUCUACCUUGAAUAGACAUUUUCCUGAUAAGAAUAAACAAGGAAAAGGUCUUUGCCUCCUGGAAGAACAAAUCUACCAGGUGAUCUAUUCAUUGUUUCAACUCAGAAUGCACUUGAUUCAGGAGGUCAUCUGACCUUCACCUUGGAUGGUUAGUUUCACUUUUUACAUAUAGUUUUUGCAGGGUUUUAUUUUACAAAAUCCAAGCGAGCGGCUGAUUGUGUUUUCGUUGUUUUCAGCCCCCCACUCCAGCCCGCAGCACAUUUCCGCUAUCCGUCAGUAAUUGUGUCCUCUUUUUAUGCUUGCUUGGGGAAUGUUGUUUUCUGACUAGGUCAUUAUCUAAAUUCUUUAGGUCAUUAUCUAAAGAAUCUAAUUCUGUUGAUUUUUAAAACUUUUAGGACCAUAAACAUUGUGUUCAUAUAUGGACAUGGAAAUAUUUAUAUAAUUUUAUAGAAAAUAACCUUUUAGAUGGUCAAAGUGUAAGGAAUUUUUUUGUCAGAUAAUCAUUUCUACUUCAAAAACAUUUCAUGCAACAUUAGAAUAAAGUUCCUGUCAUUCCUCC